GCCUGCGGUUAUUUGACUACAUCUCAGUUUCCGUCUUGCGUCUGGGACACGCUUCUCACCCUCAACUGAUGUCUGCUGGGGAUCGAGGACACGCCAGGCCCUGUGCUGGAGGCCUCUACGUUUAUCCGAUUGAUGCACGUGCUGCUGAGACCUACAGGAAAUGUUAAUAUGGAAGACAUUAGAAUGCUCUAACCUUCAUCCACUACUUCAUCAAAACCAUCCCAAUCCUUAUCUCCUUCAUGGUACUGCCGCAGAUAAAGACCCGACACCCAGGUUCAGAGGAGUGGGUUUCUCGAUUUAUUUGGACUAGCUGGGGAAUAUCCUCCUUUUGUGAGAAGAUUCCAAAUAGCUGUUUCAAGCAUAAUCUUUUCUAUUAAUGGACAAGCAAGUAAGUUCAGUACUUUUAGGGGUCAAAAGUUCACAGAAACAUUCCCAAUCAGGGCCAUCUUAGGUCAUGCUGAUAUAAAUUCAUCUUGGAACACAACUGCAUGCUACCGACACUCCGUACAAGGUUUUAGCAAUAUAUGUAUAGCAUAUGAAGCAGCUGAAAAAUGCCACAGUCAUAUCCAAAGGCUCCUUACAAGAUGAGAUCUGGUCUGGCAGCCACCAAUGGCUGGAAUCCUCACUCAACUGUGGGCAGGCUAAGAAGUCUGUAUCUGAUGGCAUGGGCACAGCCGCUUUGGGGCAAAAGAUGGGCAGAGACUGAGGCAGCACAGAGGUGAAGCUGAGAGAGAUAGCAAUGGAGUGGGAGUUGAGUCCAUCUCCCCCACCUCUGGUCACCACCGGUGGGGCCUCACGGGGCUCGGGGAGGAAAGCGCUCUUUUGGGUGACACGUAGGAGUAGAGGUUCCCAUUUAUCAGCUGGAAGCAGUACAGCGACAGUGUUGGUGAGUGAGAAAUGGGAAAUGACACCACUGGAGGUUCUGCAUUCCAAAUAAAACUUGCUGACUUUCCCUCUGGUUCUGCCUAAGGCCCAUGGGAGAGGAGAGACCUGGUUUUAGGGGCUGUUGUUAGUCCAGGGCCCAAAACAAAUGUGAAUCAGAUGGUCACCAGGAAGCAUCAGGCCCCCUGGAGAGACUUCUCUAAAUGCGAUCUAAGUAUCUGGUCAAGAACACCAAC
rnacentral:lncRNA from 1 species